rnacentral:rRNA from 1 species
AUGGCUCAGAUUGAACGCUGGCGGCAGGCCUAACACAUGCAAGUCGAGCGGAUGACAGGAGCUUGCUCCUGGAUUCAGCGGCGGACGGGUGAGUAAUGCCUAGGAAUCUGCCUGGUAGUGGGGGACAACGUUUCGAAAGGAACGCUAAUACCGCAUACGUCCUACGGGAGAAAGCAGGGGACCUUCGGGCCUUGCGCUAUCAGAUGAGCCUAGGUCGGAUUAGCUUGUUGGUGAGGUAAUGGCUCACCAAGGCGACGAUCCGUAACUGGUCUGAGAGGAUGAUCAGUCACACUGGAACUGAGACACGGUCCAGACUCCUACGGGAGGCAGCAGUGGGGAAUAUUGGACAAUGGGCGAAAGCCUGAUCCAGCCAUGCCGCGUGUGUGAAGAAGGUCUUCGGAUUGUAAAGCACUUUAAGUNNNAGGAAGGGUUGUAGAUUAAUACUCUGCAAUUUUGACGUUACCGACAGAAUAAGCACCGGCUAACUCUGUGCCAGCAG